CCUACGGGCGGCAGCAGUGAGGAAUAUUGGUCAAUGGCCGGAAGGCUGAACCAGCCAAGCCGCGUGAAGGACGAAGGUGCCAAGCAUUGUAAACUUCUUUUGUCAAGGGACAAAAUCAGGCUCGAGAGCCUGACCGUGGGUACCUGAAGAAAAAGCAUCGGCUAACUCCGUGCCAGCAGCCGCGGUAAUACGGAGGAUGCGAGCGUUAUCCGGAUUUAUUGGGUUUAAAGGGUGCGUAGGGGGGCUGUUAAGUCAGCGGUAAAAGCGCGGGUCUCAACCCCGGAGAGCCGUUGAAACUGGCUGUCUUGAGAAGAGGAGAGGUAUGCGGAAUGCGCAGUGUAGCGGUGAAAUGCUUAGAUAUUGCGAAGAACUCCGAUUGCGAAGGCAGCAUACCGGCGGCCAUCUGACGCUGAGGCACGAAAGCGUGGGUAUCGAACAGGAUUAGAUACCCUGGUAGUC
rnacentral:rRNA from 1 species